UACGUAGGGUGCGAGCGUUGUCCGGAAUUAUUGGGCGUAAAGAGCUCGUAGGCGGUGUGUCACGUCGGUUCGUGAAAACCUGCAGCUUAACUGUGGGCGUGCGGUCGAUACGGGCAUCACUGGAGUUCGGCAGGGGGAGAGCUGGAAGUUCCUGGAUGUAGCGGUGAAAUGACGCAGAUAUCAGGAGGAACACCGGUGGCGAAGGCGGGUCUCUGGGCCGAUACUGACGCUGGAGGAGCGAAAGCGUGGGAGCAAACAGG
rnacentral:rRNA from 1 species